GUGGGGAAUAUUGGACAAUGGGCGAAAGCCUGAUCCAGCAACGCCGCGUGAGUGAUGAAGGCCUUCGGGUUGUAAAGCUCUGUCGGUUGGAACGAAUAAGGGACACCUAACACGUGUCCCGAUGACGGUACCAGCAAAGGAAGCACCGGCUAACUCUGUGCCAGCAGCCGCGGUAAUACAGAGGGUGCUAGCGUUGUUCGGAAUCACUGGGCGUAAAGCGCGUGUAGGCGGCGGGGUGUGUCCUGUGUGAAAUCCCUCGGCUCAACUGGGGAAGUGCAUGGGAAACUACUCUGCUAGAGUGCGAAAGAGGGUGGCGGAAUUCCUGGUGUAGAGGUGAAAUUCGUAGAUACCAGGAGGAACACCGGCGGCGAAGGCGGCCACCUGGGUCGUAACUGACGCUGAUACGCGACAGCGUGGGGAGCAAACAGGAUUAGAAACCCGGGUAGUCC
rnacentral:rRNA from 1 species